GACGAACCGUGCGAACGUUAUUCGGAAUCACUGGGCUUAAAGCGCGUGUAGGCGGAUGGGGACGUCGGUCGUUGAAAGCCCCCGGCUCAACCGGGGAACCUGGCACCGAAACGCCCCGUCUCGAGGGACGUAGGGGGACCUGGAACUUCCGGUGGAGCGGUGAAAUGCGUUGAGAUCGGAAGGAACGCCCGUGGCGAAAGCGAGGUCCUGGACGUC
rnacentral:rRNA from 1 species